rnacentral:misc_RNA from 1 species
GGAAGUAAAAUCGUAACAAGGUUUCCGUAGGUGAACCUGCGGAAGGAUCAUUAUUGUAUAACCGAGGUGCGAGGGCUGUCGCUGACCCGAAAGGUCGUGCACGCCCGAGUGCCCUCACACACAUACAUCUCACCCCUAUGUGCACCACCGCGUGGGUCCCCCUUUGGCUUGUUCGGAGGGGGGCUUACGUUUUCACACAAACUUUGUAUGCAGUGUAGAAUGUAUUUUUUGUUUUUGCGGUCACGCAAUCAAUACAACUUUCAACAACGGAUCUCUUGGCUCUC